rnacentral:rRNA from 1 species
GACGAACGCUGGCGGCGUGCUUAACACAUGCAAGUCGAACGAUGAAACCUAGCUUGCUAGGUCGAUUAGUGGCGAACGGGUGAGUAACACGUGACUAACCUGCCCCUUUCUCUGGGAUAACGCUCCGAAAGGAGUGCUAAUACCGGAUACUCACACCGAGGCACAUGCCUUGGUGUGGAAAGUUUUUCGGAAAGGGAUGGAGUCGCGGCCUAUCAGCUUGUUGGUGAGGUAACGGCUCACCAAGGCGACGACGGGUAGCCGGCCUGAGAGGGCGAACGGGCACCCUGGGACUGGGACGCGGACCAGCCUCCUACGGGAGGCAGCAGUUGGGAAUAUUGCACAAUGGGCGCAAGCCUGAUGCGGCGACGCCGCGUAAGGGAUGAAGGUCUUCGGAUUGUAAACCUCUUUCAGGAGGGACGAAGCGAAAGUGACGGUACCUAAAGAAGAAGCACCGGCUAACUACGUGCCAGCCGCCGCCGUAA